GCUCCUGUAGGAAGUAUUACAUACAUGGGUAACAGGUGAGUUCCAACUCCUUAUUUGAAGGGAUGUUACAUUGUUGUAUAUAAUCAACUCCUACUGGAAAACGAUGCUAGGACCUAAGAUUACGUUAAUAAGUAGCAAUAAACGGCAAUGAUUAUAGACCUGAUGGGAGCCAAUGAAGAUUAAAAUUGAUUUAGAAGGGGAGUCGAAGAUUGAAUUGUCCCCCAAGAUACCAUACCUCUUAGGCCCAUUUAUGACCCCAUGCAACAACUUUAACUUUUCAGCUGCGUAUAAGCACAUUUGACAGCAAAUAAACGUCCUUCGUUGCAUUAAAUGUAGUCCCUUUUAAGCUUUAACAGCUUGUUUUGAAGGGCCUCUCAUAGCUGGAACUCCACUCUUCGGCGCUGGAAGAACAGCUAAGUUUAGAGAUUUGGUGAGAAGUUUGCCUAUNAUGCUCAAGGUAUUCAUCACCUAAUUGUCUCGUGUAAGUUGUUCAGCAGAUGUGUCGGCAUGCCAUGCAUUUAACUCUUGUUCACAACGCUGUACAACCUAUUAUAUUUUUUAUCUAUUGGCAUAAUAUCAGCUGGAUCAAGUUUCACUGAUUAUAUGUUUCCACGCAGCACUUUGUAGGGUUAUAAUACCAGUUGAAUGUGCCCUACAAAUAAUAUUGGUUCGUAACUAAUGAUACUAUUGACUUUAGGUGACUCAUGAAUUGCUUUUCUGUUUACAGGACAAUGUUAUCUCCACUCCGCCCACCAAUGGUACUAUUCUUGAAGGAAUUAUGCGUCUUGGUUAUCAGGUGAUCAGUGGGAUUUUUUAGGGGGUAAUCCAUGGAUCUCAUGCUGUUUAAUGUCGGGCUAACAUUUAACUCUGGUUCUGGCAACACAAGCUUAACUCGUGGUGGAAUGUGUUAGUAUCACUUAGCAAAUCCUGGUAUUAUAGGAUGCAAUGGAGUUUUGGGUAACAUUAAACAUUAUAAAGUUCAACUCGUUCGGAAAUUUUUAUGCAGAUAGCAUAUUGAGAGAAUCCAAAAUGCCUGGCUGAAAAAGUAUCCAGGCCAGUUUGCUGUCCAUCAUUGUUAGCAAUAGGAUAAUCUUUGUCUUUGUAGAUUUUUUACGAUAACCGCUUUUCAUUGAAGCACUCUCGAACAAAAUUCUUAUUUGUCGAGGGACCUCAGGUUACUGGCCUCUCCGUUUCCAAGUGCCAAAACCUCAAAUAUACUCCCGACAUUCUUAAGCAUAUCCUCCCUAUUAGAUGCUACUUGUUCCUUGAGAGUGGCUUAACCUAUGGCAAACAGUAAACUUUUUUAUUAGUGAACUUGCUCCUCUAAAUGGCUCCAAACUAUAAACAUAUGUCAGAUCUUUUACCGGAAGCUAGGGAAAUUUUCUUCCGAUAUCUAAUUCAACAUUUUUUUUGCCACUUAUUACAAUUUAAAUCAGUUAUAACACCUUCCCUCAAUUUGGUUACCAGUCCAGAAGAGUUGUUGUAACUAAGCCAUUUUAUACUAGUAAACAGUUAUUAUAGUGAUGAUUAUCUACUUUGAUACCUAAAGUUAUGCAGUGCUUUCUUUGUCGCCUUCUGCUACACUGUAAGAAACGGAUGCUCUUAAUGCUUUUGUGUUGUGCAAGGAGGUGUCAAACGUUUAUGUUCAUCAAUGAAUUACAUACUUCCUUCUAUGCUGAUCUUCCUGAUGCAUCAACAUCCUUUGGUUCAAUUCUGCAAAUCUAUCUGAAGGCUUUUAAACCCACACCACGUAUCUAUAGUCGAAAGCUUUACAUUGUCUGUGAAUUUGGGCAGGUUGAGGAGCGUUCUAUUCCAAUUCAAGAAUUACUUGAUGCUGACGAAGUUUUCUGCACUGGAACCGCAGUUGGUGUUGCUCCUGUAGGAAGUAUUACAUACAUGGGUAACAGGUGAGUUCCAACUCCUUAUUUGAAGGGAUGUUACAUUGUUGUAUAUAAUCAACUCCUACUGGAAAACGAUGCUAGGACCUAAGAUUACGUUAAUAAGUAGCAAUAAACGGCAAUGAUUAUAGACCUGAUGGGAGCCAAUGAAGAUUAAAAUUGAUUUAGAAGGGGAGUCGAAGAUUGAAUUGUCCCCCAAGAUACCAUACCUACUCUUGUCAAAAAGUUUUCUACAUUUGGAUGUAUGGUGCAUCCGUUCCAAUUAGGGUCACCUUUUCCCGGUUAGGGUUUAUUAAUCAUGAUUUG
rnacentral:lncRNA from 1 species